rnacentral:rRNA from 1 species
UGGGGAAUCUUGCACAAUGGGGGAAACCCUGAUGCAGCGACGCCGCGUGAGCGAUGAAGGUUCUCGAAUCGUAAAGCUCUGUCCUAUGGGAAGAUAAUGACGGUACCAUGGGAGGAAGCCCCGGCUAACUACGUGCCAGCAGCCGCGGUAAUACGUAGGGGGCGAGCGUUGUCCGGAAUUACUGGGCGUAAAGGGUUCGCAGGCGGCAUGGCAAGUCCGAUGUAAAAGGCGAAGGCUCAACCUUCGUAAGCAUCGGAAACUGUCAAGCUUGAGUGAAGGAGAGGCAAGUGGAAUUCCUAGUGUAGCGGUGGAAUGCGUAGAUAUUAGGAGGAAUACCGGUGGCGAAGGCGACUUGCUGGACUUCAACUGACGCUGAGGAACGAAAGCGUGGGUAGCAAACAGG